AGCCUUGGUGCUUGAGUAUAUGCCUAAUGGGAGCUUAGAGAAGUGGUUGUACUCUCACAACUACUACUUGGAUUUUGUCCAACGAUUAAAAAUUAUGAUAGAUGUGGCAUCAGGGUUAGAGUAUCUCCAUCAUGAUUAUUCAAGUCCUGUGGUUCACUGUGACUUGAAGCCCAACAAUGUCUUAUUAGAUGAUGACAUGGUUGCACACAUAAGUGAUUUCGGCAUUGCAAAACUGUUGAUGGGAAGCGAGUUUAUGAAGCGAACCAAAACCUUGGGCACCAUAGGCUAUAUGGCACCAGGUAAAGUUUCCUACCACUUCAACACAUUCUUAUGUCAUUUUUUUCUCUCUCUCAACUAGUUGGUUUUCCAUUUGACCAAGAAGCACUAUUUGGCAUCAAAGUUUUACAUAAUGAACAACUAAUAUUACAUGCAGGGUGUAAGUUAGAGGAUAAGUUAUUGUAAGUAUUCUAGGUUUUUUAAAUUGUUUUCAAUCCUUUGAAAAAUGGAGAGGUGUCAUUGGCUCUUUACAAACGUCUUACAUGAUCAUUUUUGACCUCUUGAUAAUUAAUAUUUUUUAACUAGAAGAUUGUUUUUUAUUAAUUAUUUAUCUUUCUCUAUAUUACUAUUUCUUUGUUCAUUUUACUAAUGGAAACUAAUAUGCAAGCAUGCAGAGUAUGGCUCAGAGGGAAUAGUAUCUACAAAAUGUGAUAUAUAUAGUUUUGGGAUCAUGCUCAUGGAAACUUUUGUGAGGAAGAAGCCUACAGAUGAAAUGUUUAUGGAGGAACUAACCUUGAAGAGUUGGGUGGAGUCAUCAACCAACAACAUAAUGGAGGUUAUAGAUGCCAAUCUCCUGACAGAAGAAGAUGAAAGUUUUGCCUUAAAACAAGCUUGUUUUUCUUCCAUCAUGACAUUAGCUCUGAAUUGUACAGCUGAGCCUCCUGAGAAAAGGAUUAACAUGAAAGAUGUGGUGGUUAGACUCAAGAAGCUCCUGAAUCAAAUUGUUGAUUUAAGGGCUCCAUAAUUAAGAAGAAGGCAUGGAGAUCAUGUCCCUUUCUUCCACCCUGAGCUUAUUUAAGAGUUCACAAAUCAAGAAUUGAGGGACCAUUGGGCAUGGCUUGCCAAGUAGUUGAAAGUUCCUUAUUAUGUCAACUCUAUGCAAAUUAUGCUCAAAUGUUUGUGUAGUUCCAUCCAUUUCCCCCAAUGUAAUUCAGCUUGAAUAAUGCCAUGAGUCUGAAUGCUUUUAUUUCGUAUUUUCCCAUUACCAUAAUAUUAAGUGAAGGUGCCCGGUGAAUAACUUUUGGAAGAACAUUUCAUGCUUUUCUUUUUAAGAUAUGAUAGACUUUAAUAAAUUAUUUGUCUAUGAUUGAUCACUUUAGCAAAUUGCCCGGUCAAAAUUGACCUCUACUUGUAGACAUAUCUUACUUAAUUUCUUAUAACUUGCAAUUACUUUCAGAUUGUGUAUAAUUGGAUUUGACUUAUUUCAAAAUCAUGGCUCGUGAGAAUUAAGAAGUUUGAGAAUUCAUAUUUAAAGUAAUUUGAACGAUAUUUAUCAUGUAAUUUGAGCAAUUUUGGAAAGGUCAACAAUUUUAAUUUUGUGUUUUUAUUUGUGAGAAUUAAGAUCUCAAAUUGGAUAAAGAAUUUAGUAAAAUGUUAAAAAGAAAAAAAUUUAGAAUAGGAAAUAAUUUUUUUUUAAAAUAAUCACCAUGGUAAUGUGGGUGUCACAUAGCACAAUUAACCAUGGUUUUGUUUCUAUAAACAAAAAUUUGUCAUUUCAUCAAAAUAUAUAGUAAUCAACCAAAUUCAUACUUGAAUGAAAAAGCAUGACCUCUAUAUCUAUAUUUAAAGUGAUAUGGAAUGAUAAAUAUUUUGUUCAUGUAUAUAAAAGAAUAUUAAGGUUGGGAAUUCCAAGCACAAGGUUAAGGAAUUAAUUAGUUUGAGUCCAAUUAGAUGUAAAACAAUUUAUUAAAUUGUACGUUAAACAGAUUACAACUUUGAUAAGUGAACUGCACCAUGGUUAGCACUCCGGAUGGGACUACAUUGAAGCCCUUUUUCACCUCCUAGGAUAUCUUUUUCCAAAAAAGGUUGUUGCUCACGAUUUACUUGAUAGACGUUAAGAUCACUCACAGCUCUCACUGGUCUCACUGGUGUAACGGCUGCUGUUUGCUGCUAUACUUCAGAAGUUGUUGCACUUCUAAAGUUAGGUGGUUUGUUACACUUUGUUAGAUUAGUUACACAAUGGAAAAUUCUACGGCACCGAAGUGGGUACCGCAUCUGCAAAAUUCUUGUCCGUUGGAUCAAAAGCUUCCAAUCAAGACUGAAUGCCUUUGCACCACUUAGCUGGACUGCGCCAUCGUAUUGCCUCUUCUUGAAUACGCUUUGCUUGAUCAACUUUUCAGGUUUCUUUCUCGGUUUUGGUAGGACUGCACUGUCGUUGCCCCUACUUGCCCUACAUGACACACUUUUUUCCAAGGAGGUGGUUUCCCGCCAAUUUCUUUCUUCUUAAAUACACCAUUAGAUCGUGAUAUGCGGACAGCUCUAUAUGCAAAUUGAGUUUUGUCUCCUGUGGAAUGUGGAAUGUGGACUACAGCACCGUGAUAACCCACUCUUCACUGCACCAGGCUUGACCCGAGGUUAGCUCUUUUGUCCUUUUGGAAAACUGCACCGCAGCUGUCCCUUCUUGACCGGCUCAACCCACUUCUCCAAGAGAGGUUGAGGGUGUCUUGUCCCUUUGGGGAUCACCACACAGAGUUUACCCACCAAUUAUUUUCUUCAUUCUUCGUACAUUUCUCCAAUUGCAUUAUGAAAUGCAAAUGCUUGUUGCAUUGUUUUGAGUGUGUCCAGCUACAGACAGUUGCAGCAGCUCUGGUCAUAAUCCAUGCUUUCAGUGAUGUGUAGGAAAUAUCAGACUUUAUGUUCGAAGUGUCAUGCAGAAAAUGACACUUGAAUUAUAAUUUUUAUGGGAGUUAGAAAAGUCUUGCUUCUUUGAUGAUUAUCCAAAGAUUCAAUCAUGAAAUGCAGAAAAUGUAAACUUUAUGUAUAUAGGUUUGGAACUUAUUUCUUUAGAAAAUGUAAAUCUUUAUGUAUAUAUGAAUCUUGAACAAUCCCUAAUUUCGCACCCAUAUUAAUGGUUUGCAUAUCCCAUUCAUAUGUAUUACAACCAUCUACUAUAUAUAUCACAUUCAAAUAAAAGUAUGCUUAUAGAAUUGAUAUUGAAUACUCGAUCAAAUUAAUAUUCCAUUACUUAGAUCAAAACUCAACGGCAAAAACAAUGAAGGAUAGAAAAGCUCUUCAUGUAUAUAGGUUUGGAGCUUAUUUAUUUCUUCAUCGGCGGAUUUCUGAAGGGCAGCUUUUUGAAAAAAUUUCAAGUCUUUCACUAAUCCUCUUUUUCCACAAGUAAUGUCACAUUCCACAAGUAUUUCUAUAUGCUUCUUCAAUAUAUUUGAGAGAGAAGUUAUAUACAAAUUAUCACACACUCUCUCUAUUUGAAUUGAUUGAAUAAAGUGGACCAAAAAAAGUAUCAUUUUCCUUUCUAAAUUGAUAUAACCAAUAGUAAAGUGUCACUCUAAUGAAAUGAUAAAUCAUUUGUUAUGAUGUGAUAUACAUAUGAAAUGAUAAAUCUUUUGUUCAAAUAUAAAUUAGGUUGUUUUGUUUGAAUUAACAAUUUUGUUCUAUUCAUCUUGUCUGAGCAAUUGUUUACUUGACUUUCCUUACUCUCUAUUGAAGAUUCAAAAUUGUUGUCAUCAACCCAAAAUUAAACAGGUAUAGAGAGAUUCAAGAAAGGCUAAUUAGGAUAAAUUAUGAGAUAAAAUUGGCUUUAAGUUUUUAAUUAAGCUAAAAUAUUUUUAAUUAGAUUAUUAAAAACUGGACCAACACUCAAACCUAGUGCUCAAGCACUUUAAGAACACCCAAGCGUUUGAAGCAAAAUUUUCCAAAAUUGAAUUCCUUAUUUUGCUUUCAUUAUAGGUGUUUGCUCACUAAGGUUUCAUCUCUAUAUAAAUACUGUGCCUAAAAAUCAUUUUGGUUAUUGAUGCAAAUUUCAUAAAAAGAUUAUUAGCCUUUACUACAUCCCAAUACUCCCAUAUUUUUGUGAUUCUCAUUCUUUGGGUUGGUGAGAAAGAUCUUCAUCUCUUCAGGUGUUAAGGUAGUCCACUUGGUGCAGAUAUGAUGUUGCAUUUUGGACUUGAAAACUAGUAUAUAUAUUGGAAAUUAAAACUUAGGGAGAACAUCUGCCAUGUAAAUUUGUAUACUUUUCUUUUAAUAGUGGGCUUUUGCUUUAUAGUCUCUUGCCAUGUGAUUUUUUUUACAUUUAUAUGGUAUUUGGGAGAUUUUAUGGGUGGUUUUUCAUGUAAAAUUUGUUGGUUUCUCUUUUUUUUUUUUCUUUCUAAUUAUUAAAUAGGAAUUAAAAACAAAAAAUUGUAUUAAAAAGAAGAUAAUACGAAUUACCCCCUUAGGUAUUUCGUAAUUGAAAUAUACAAAUUUUUAGAAUGUCAUACAUUUAACAUAUAAAAUGUGGAGAAGAUUUCUAGUGUAUAAUUAAUAUAGAGAAUUCCAAGCAUAAGGUUCACGGAUUUAGAUUGAGUGCAAUCAUCUUGAGUUGUAAUUAUAUCAAAGUUGUUAAAGCAAUCUAUUAAAUUAAUUAUUAAAUAGGUCACAAUCUUCUAAACAAGAAGUAGCAUAGGAAAGAGAUUGCCAAGUCAAUAACCAAUGCUUUUGGACCACUUAGAAAGUUCCAUGGUUGUCACUCUGGGUGGGACUGCACUUGAAGCCCUUUUCUACUUCCUCACCCACUUCUUCCAAGAAGUUUGCUACCCACCGAUUACUCUCCCUUCCUUAACCCUUGUUUUGUUGAACCACAUCCUCUCCUUCAACAUUUAUCAACGACUUUUUUUUCUUGUUCUUGUUAGAUUAAUUUUUGUAAUUAAUCUAUAAUUUGGGCCACACAUGUAAAUAAUUAAAAUAUGUGUGCUAUCAUUUAAUUAAGCCUAAAUAUAGUGAUCUAAUUAAUAAUUGAUUAAUUGGCUUAAGGGUAUAAUUGUCAUGAGAUUAUUGUGUAGAUACCAUUAGACAAUUAUUAUUUCUAUGAGGGGCAGAAAUAUAAUUGUGAUAAAAUUAAAACUGCCCUAGCGGUUUAUAAAUAGGGUUAUGGUCCCCAUUCUACGACUACGCAUUCCAAUUUCUGAAAAUCCUCUCAGAGAGAAAUUGACACAGAAUCUAGUGGCUUGAAUUGGAAGACCAUCGCAAAGGGUUUUCUUCUUAUAAGGUUUCUCCUUCAAUGGAUUCAGGUAUGCUUCCGCUAUUAUUUUUCUACUCAUUGUUUUUAAUCAGGAGAUUCCAGUAUAUAUGAAAUUAUGGUAUUCACCUUGUUAAAUAUUCCAGUAUAUAUGAAGUUAGGGUAUUCACCUUGUUAAAUAUUCCAGUAUAUAUGAAAUUAGGGUAUUCAUCUUGGUUGAGAUACAACAAGUGGUAUCAGAGCCUACUCCUUGAUUAAUUCUUUGAGUUAUUAUUUUAAUAUAUAUAUAUAUAUAUAUAUAUAUAUAUAUAUAUAUAUAUAUAUAUAUAUAUAUAUAUAUAUAUAUAUAUAUAUAUAUAUAUGUCAAUGGAUUAAGAUUUAUGAAAUAUUGAGUUGAUAAUUUUUUUUAUUACUAUUAUUAUUAUUAUUAUUAUUAUUAUUAUUAUUAUUAUUAUUUAAUAAUUUUCUUAUAUUUAAUUUUACUAUGAAAAAUAUGAAAAAAAAUCAAAUAUAAUUAAUUAAAACUUAUCUAUUUUAAAAUUAUUUAAUCUUUAUAUAAAUGAAUUAAAACAAGUGAAAUAUAUUUAAAUCAACGAAACCAAUCUUGUUCUUCGCUGUUAAUGCCAUGGCCAUAGCUCUACUCCAUGUGUUGUAAUUGCUCUCAGUUAAGUGGUGUGAGACAAGGAUGAGUUCGGGAUGAUCACCAUUGUGAAGAAAAAAAGGGCUACUUACAUCUUCCAUUGUUGACACUUCAAAUGAUCUAAUCAUAGCUCGUUUAUUGGGUUGAUUACCUCGAGCCAUGAAAAAAAAUAAAAAAUAAAAAAUCAGAGAAUGAGCAUAAGGAAUUGCUCUGAUAUCAUAUUGCUGGUUUUACCAAAAGGAAGGAAUCAAAGGGAGAGAAAACAAAGUGAAUGCACUGAUUCUUUGAUCCUCAACCUCUCAACAGAAUAAAACCAAAAAGCUAGUUUAUAUGGGAGCCAGAGUAACAAACUGUAACCAACUCUCAGCUAUGAAAAAGAAAAAAAAAACAAACAAAGAAAAAUAACAAUCAAAGGGUAAUAAUCAAAGGUACUACCAGCCCUUAUUACAGAAAUGCCAAUAUGCUCUAAUAUUUAACAUCUCUUCUUUACUCAACAUUAGUCUGUCCUACAAAAGCCUCUCUGGGAGUCUUCCCAUGAAUAUAUGCAACACCAAUCCAAAGCUCAAGGAGCUUAAUCUUUCGUCAAAUCAUUUGAGUGGACAGAUCCCUAUUGGUUUAGGUCAAUGUAUAAAACUUCAAGUAAUUUCCUUAUCAUAUAAUGAAUUCACGGGAAGCAUACCAAGAGGAAUUGGUGAAUUGGUGGAGCUUCAGAGAUUCUCUCCAGAAUAACAGUUUGACAGGUACACUUUUUCUUUUCUUUUUUAUUUUUCCUUUUUAUUCUUUCACUUUCCCUCAAGCUUUCAAAGAUGUAAGCAUAACGUUAAUGUUUUUCCAACCAACUCAUUUUAAUUGUGUUACAGGAGAAAUACCUCAUUCUCUGUUCAACAUCUCUAGGCUUAAGUUUUUGAAUCUGGCAGUAAAUAACCUAAAAGGUGAAAUCCCCUCCACUUUGCCAUCUAGAGCUCCAAGUUUUAGCAUUAUCAUUUAAUCAAUUCACUGGAUGCAUUCCAGAAGGCAUAGGGAGUUUAUCUAAUCUUGAACAUAACAAAAUGGCAGGUGGAAUUCCUAAGGAGAUGGGGAAUCUUUGUAAUUUAAAUAUUUUGAGCCUAAAGUCUAGUGGACUAAGUGGUCCUAUUCCUGCCGAAAUUUUCAAGAUCUCUUCAUUGGAAAAGAUGUAUUUCCAAUGGAUAUUUGCAAACAUCUUCCUAAUCUCCAAGGGCCCUAUCUUGAUGGGAAUCAGCUCAGUGGUCAACUUCCUGCAACUCUGUCCUUAUGUGGAGAGCUUUUGUCACUAUCACUAUUUUACAACAAAUUCGCAGGAAGCAUACCAAGAGAAAUUGGCAACUUAUCCAAGCUUGAAUAUAUUAAUCUCAGAAGGAAUAGCUUCGCAGGUAGCAUUCCACCUUCAUUUGGUAAUAUCCCCAAGGAGUUGGGGAAUCUCAUCAACUUACAAUUCUUGGAUCUUUGCGACAACAAUUUAAUGGGGAUAGUACCAGAAGCUAUUUUUAACAUCUCUAAGCUGCAGAUCCUUUCGCUGGUACUAAAUCACCUUUCAGGCAGUCUCCCAUCAGGUAUUGGCACUUGGCUCCCGGAUCUUGAAGGGCUUUAUAUAGGUGCCAAUCAAUUUAGUGGAAUAAUUCCAUUGUCUAUUUCAAAUGUCAAAGCUAACAAUCCUAAGCAUGAGCAAUAACUUCUUCACUGGAUAUGUGCCAAAGGAUCUAGGUAACUUGAGACGACUCCAGUGGCUCCACCUUUCAGGAAACCAAUUGACUGAUGAACACUCAACCUCUGAGCUUGCCUUUCUUACAUCAUUAACGAAUUGCAACUCUUUGAGAAAAUUGUGGAUCAGUGGUAAUCCUUUAAAAGGCAUUAUUCCAAAUUCAUUAGGGAAUCUCUCAAUUUCUUGAAAGUAUUUACGCGGGUGACUGCCAACUCAGAGGCACAAUCCCUACAGGGAUUAGAAUUUGAUCAACUUGAUUGAUUUGACACUCAAUGAUAAUGACUUGAUAGGGUUCAUUCCAACAUCAUCUGGACUCCUACAGAAGCUGCAGUUUUUAGCUAUCCCUGGAAAUCGAAUACACGGAUCCAUUCCUCGUGGUCUAUGCCAUUUGACAAACUUGGGAUACUUGGAUUUGAGUUCGAAUAAACUUCCUGGAACAAUCCCUAGCUACUUUGGGAAUCUUACUAGACUGCGGAACAUCUACUCCAGUGGACUAGCUCCUGAGAUACCUUCAUCUCUGUGGACCCUUAGAGAUCACUUGAUUCUUAACUUGUCUUCAAACUUCCUCAACAGCCAACUACCCCUGGAAGUUGGGAACAUGAAGUCCUUACUGGUAUUGGACCUGUCAAAGAACCAAUUUUCAGGAAACAUCCCAAGCACCAUAUCACUUCUUCAAAACCUGCUCCAACUUUUCCUAUCCCAUAACAAGCUACAAGGUCAUAUGCCCCCCAAUCUUGGUGAUUUGGUGAGCUUGGAAUAACUGGAUCUGUCUGGGAACAAUUUAUCUGGUUCUAUUCCCAAGUCACUAGAGGCUCUGAAAUAUCUCAAAUACCUAAAUGUUUCUUUCAAUAAAGUACAAGGAGAGAUUCCAAACGGAGGACCCUUUGCAAACUUCACUGCUGAAUCUUUCAUCUCCAACCUAGCACUUUGUGGAGCACCUCGAUUUCAAGUCAUGGUACUUGAGAAAGAUACUAGAAGGAACACAAAAUCACUCCUCUUGAAAUGUAUUGUCCCUCUGAGUGUAUCAUUAUCAGCAAUAAUAUUAGUGAUUCUCUUUAUUCUAUGGAAGCGAAGACACACCAAGUCAGGAACUCCGGUUCAAGUUGAUUUGCCGCUUCCCAGAAUGCAUAGAAUGAUUCCACAUCAAGAACUCCUUUAUGCAACCAGCUACUUUGGUGAAGACAAUUUGAUUGGAAAAGGAAGCUUAGGAAUGGUAUAUAAAGGGGUACUAUCCGAUGGGUUGAUUGUUGCUGUGAAGGUUUUCAAUUUGGAAUUGCAGGGAGCUUUCAAGAGUUUUGAGGUAGAAUGUGAAGUAAUGCGGAAUAUUCGCCAUCGAAAUCUUGCCAAGAUAAUUAGUAGUUGCUCCAACUUGGACUUCAAAGCGUUGGUGCUUGAGUAUAUGCCUAAUGGGAGCUUAGAGAAGUGGUUGUACUCUCACAAAUACUACUUGGAUUUUGUCCAACGAUUAAAAAUUAUGAUAGAUGUGGCAUCAGGGUUGGAGUAUCUCCAUCAUGAUUACUCAAAUCCUGUGGUUCACUGUGACUUGAAGCCCAGCAAUGUCUUGUUAGAUGAUGACAUGGUUGCACACAUAAGUGAUUUCGGCAUUGCAAAACUGUUGAUUGGAAAUGAGUUUAUGAAGCGAACCAAAACCUUGGGCACCAUAGGCUAUAUGGCACCAGGUAAAGUUUCCUACAACUUCAACACAUUCUUAUGCCAUUUCUUUUCUCUCUCAACUAGCUGGUUUUCCAUAAUGAACAA
rnacentral:lncRNA from 1 species